CAAUAGCGUAUAUUAAAGUUGUUGCAGUUAAAAGCUCGUAGUUUGAUUUCUGGACGGGCGCCAACACCCGCUUGUUAGUGUGGAGGCGGCACCCGCCCAUCCUUCUGUUAACGCCGCCGGCAUUUGUUUGCUGGUGGCGGGCUCAGAUAUUUUACCUUGAGAAAAUUAGAGUGUUUCAGGCAGGCUAGGCCGGAAUACAUUAGCAUGGAAUAAUGGAAUAGGACUACGGUCUCUUUGUUGGUUUGAGGGACUGCAGUAAUGAUUAAUAGGGAUAGUUGGGGGGCAUUAGUAUUUAAUUGUCAGAGGUGGAAUUCUCGGAUUUGUUAAAGACUAACUUAUGCGAAAGCAUUUGCCAAGGAUGUUUUCAUUAAUCAAGAACGAAAGUUAGGGGAUCAAAGAUGAUCAGAUAC
rnacentral:rRNA from 1 species